AGGCAGUGUAAUUAGCUGAUUGUACUGUGGUGCUUACAAUCACUAACUCCACUGCCAUC
rnacentral:pre_miRNA from 1 species